rfam:Herbaspirillum seropedicae SmR1, complete genome.
GGAGUGGUAGUUCAGUUGGUUAGAAUACCGGCCUGUCACGCCGGGGGUCGCGGGUUCGAGCCCCGUCCGCUCCG